AAAUUGAAGAGUUUGAUCAUGGCUCAGAUUGAACGCUGGCGGCAGGCCUAACACAUGCAAGUCGAACGGUAACAGGAAGCAGCUUGCUGCUUUGCUGACGAGUGGCGGACGGGUGAGUAAUGUCUGGGAAACUGCCUGAUGGAGGGGGAUAACUACUGGAAACGGUAGCUAAUACCGCAUAACGUCGCAAGACCAAAGAGGGGGACCUUCGGGCCUCUUGCCAUCGGAUGUGCCCAGAUGGGAUUAGCUAGUAGGUGGGGUAACGGCUCACCUAGGCGACGAUCCCUAGCUGGUCUGAGAGGAUGACCAGCCACACUGGAACUGAGACACGGUCCAGACUCCUACGGGAGGCAGCAGUGGGG
rnacentral:rRNA from 1 species